AACACAUACAUGUACAAGUGCAGCUUAACAUCUCAUAUCACCAGAUCCUAUCAUCAAUGAUUGGAAUACCAAUGAUGGUCAUUCUCGUGUCAAAUUAAUUGAAAGUCCUAAUGUCCCUGGGUCAGAUUACAGAUGUAUAUCAAGACAAACUACAUGUGCUACAUACAUUGACGAAAAUCAAAAGGAAAAUGCCUACAUUGUACAUCUCAGGGUCCAGUUCCUCACUUUAUUGAUGACUUCUGGUGGAACAGAAUGUGGAGACAGUUGUAAUACUGACAAACCUUGAAGAGAAAUGAAGAGCAAUGUGUGGCCUGAUUCUGGUACAUGUACUGAGAUGUACUGAUUCUUUGAGACAACGCUUCACUCAAUUAAUGAAGGAAUACCCAGACUACGCUGUACAUACUUGAGAAAUUCAAGAUAGUUGACAGCAGAGUG